CGUGUUUUCUUGAGUCGCGAACGGGUGAGUAACGCGUAGGUAACCUGCCUAUUAGCGGGGGAUAACUAUUGGAAACGAUAGCUAAUACCGCAUAAUAUUAAUUAUUGCAUGAUAAUUGAUUGAAAGAUGCAAGCGCAUCACUAGUAGAUGGACCUGCGUUGUAUUAGCUAGUUGGUAAGGUAAGAGCUUACCAAGGCGACGAUACAUAGCCGACCUGAGAGGGUGAUCGGCCACACUGGGACUGAGACACGGCCCAGACUCCUACGGGAGGCAGCAGUAGGGAAUCUUCGGCAAUGGACGAAAGUCUGACCGAGCAACGCCGCGUGAGUGAAGAAGGUUUUCGGAUCGUAAAGCUCUGUUGUAAGUCAAGAACGUGUGUGAGAGUGGAAAGU
rnacentral:rRNA from 1 species